rnacentral:tRNA from 1 species
GGGCGUAUGGCGCAGUUGGUAGCGCGUUCCCUUAGCAUGGGAAAGGUCUCCGGUUCGAAUCCGGAUUCGUCCA